GCAGAGUAGCUAAGGCGCGUUAAGUGUUGCGAAACGGGACGUUGUUCGCAAACGAAAGGAAUUUCCUGCGGUGCCGAGGCGCGUCCGUUG
rnacentral:ncRNA from 1 species